rnacentral:rRNA from 1 species
GACGAACGCUGGCGGCGUGCCUAAUACAUGCAAGUAGAACGCUGAAGGAGGAGCUUGCUCUUCUGGAUGAGUUGCGAACGGGUGAGUAACGCGUAGGUAACCUGCCUGGUAGCGGGGGAUAACUAUUGGAAACGAUAGCUAAUACCGCAUAACAGUAGAUGUUGCAUGACAUUUGCUUAAAAGGUGCAAUUGCACCACUACCAGAUGGACCUGCGUUGUAUUAGCUAGUUGGUGGGGUAACGGCUCACCAAGGCGACGAUACAUAGCCGACCUGAGAGGGGGAUCGGCCACACUGGGACUGGGACACGGCCCAGACUCCUACGGGAGGGAGCAGUAGGGGAUCUUCGGCAAUGGACGGAAGUCUGACCGAGCAACGCCGCGUGAGUGAAGAAGGUUUUCGGAUCGUAAAGCUCUGUUGUAAGAGAAGAACGAGUGUGAGAGUGGAAAGUUCACACUGUGACGGUAUCUUACCAGAAAGGGACGGCUAACUACGUG